rnacentral:rRNA from 1 species
UUCUUAUUAAAUUUUAAUAAGUAACACCUGCUCAAUGAAUAAAAUUAAAUGGCCGCGGAAAUUUAACCGUGCUAAGGUAGCAUAAUCAUUAGUCCUUUAAUUGGGGACUAGAAUGAAUGGUGAAACAUUUCAAUUUCUUUUUUUCUUUAUUUAUUUAAAUUUGAAUUAAGAAUAAAAAUGUUCUUAUUUAGUAAAAAGACGAUAAGACCCUAUUGAACUUUACUUCAGUUUAGCUGGGGCAGCUAAGUAAUAAUUAUUUUACUUCAUUUAUAUAUUUAAAUGACCCAACAAAGUUGAUUUUAUGAACAAGUUACCAUAGGGAUAACAGCGUAAUUUUUUUUUAAAGCUCUUAUUUAAAUAAAAGAUUGCGACCUCGAUGUUGAAUUAAUGUUUCUUUAAAGUGCAAAAGCUUUAAAAGUUGGUCUGUUCGACCUUUAAAACUUUACAU